AUGAAAAAGAUUAAUUUAAAAAAAUUUAUUGUAUCAUUAACUCUAGGAAAGCACAGAUGGCUCAACAUCCGUUGGAAAACAAAGAAGUGGUUCUAUUGGAGAUCGUCCUGCAAGACCUACUCUCUUAGAGCAAGUGUUAAAUCAAAAACGGCUGGCAUUAUUAAGAAGUCCAGAAGUUGUGCAGUUUCUGCAGAAACAGCAACAGCUACUAAAUCAACAAGUUUUGGAGCAAAGACAACAACAACAGUUUCCUGGAGCAUGAGUGUGAAGGGACUAAUUGAGGUUAUCCACAGGUUUAGUAUCUCACUGUACUGGCUGAAGAUAUUUUUAUAUUGAAGAGAAAUAGGUUACAGCAGUCAAGUAGAACACUUGCAUAUGACUGUCAUAAAACCUUUUCCUCGAAAUACAUAUAUUUGUUUUUUUUGUGAUGGGUUUUGAAGAAAUCUGGUUUUACAUUAUAUUUCCAAAACUCCACUUAACUUUGUUGUUUCAAAAACAUUUUUCAACUUUAAUUUUAAAAAUACCCCAAAUCUCCCAACAAGUUAUCAGGCAAAAGAUCAUAAAUAUGAUCAUUCUUAGGUUUAUUAUUAAUGAAGGAAAUGAGAUAGUUACUUUCUGUGGAAGUUGUGAAAGUAAUAGAUAUUAAUUUUGAAUUGUCUAGCCAAUGAGUGUGACAGGAUAUAGCUUGGACAUUCAGGAGGCCUGAGCUGAGGAAUAAUCUUCUUUAUGUUUUUCUACACACUUAAACCUGGAGUUAACAAGGAAGCAAAUAUAGAGCGUGUGUGUAUACACAUGUAGGAAAAAGGGUGGUAAUAAUCAGCUGCCCUGUGGAACUGAAGUGUGCCCCCAUCUUCUAAAUGUCCAGCUGAAACCAAAAGAGGACUUCGUGAAAGAAAUUAGAAUGAAGAAAAUACAGAAGAAACUGCUUGAUUACAUUUCCUAACACCACAUUGUUUGCAUGUCAGAUGUGAUCUGUGGAAGCAGGUAUUUUGAAGUGCAGAAUCUAUGGCUGGUGGAGAUUGUAUGUGGUUUAUCUUGUUCACCAAUUCCCUGAUAAAAAUGGCAUUGAUUUUAUUACUUAUUACUCAUUUUUUUCCAAUGGAGAAUUUUGAGAAUAAGCGGGAAAACUCCCUCUAUGUUAUGAAUUAUUUAAAAAAUUGAGCCAUUUCAACGUUGUUGAUAUUGAAUAGGUGCCCAACGAAUAAAGUGAGAUACUUUUAUCCUUUCUUCCUAAGA
rnacentral:lncRNA from 1 species